AUUGUCAUGAGAGGUUGUUUUCCUCCUGAUCCUGUAGUAUAAGUAGAGGGUUGAUCAGGAGAACCUGUUCAACUGAGACACUUGUUUAGGACUUUGAUUAUGAGCUAAAGACUCUUCAUAUGUCUCUUAUAGGCAUUAGGUUGAUUUGACAAGCUCAGGCUCCUGGGCAUCGAGAAGAGUAGUGAAAGCUCCUGGACACCAAUUUUCUGGAGGAACGUUGAAUUCCUGGACGUAGGACGGAGUUUGUGGACCAGAUACUGGAGGAACAAGGAAAUGGGUCAUCAUGUCUAGGAGCACAACCUUGCCUUUGUCCUCUGCUGCUACUUUCUAUCAUUCAACCUGUCUUAGUAUGCUGAGGACAAGAAGAUGGCCAAAGAAGGGAGAGGAGCACAACUUGAAGGGGAAAGGAUGGUCAUGGACAAUAGAAAGAAAACAGAACUAUCCACCUCCUAGUUUCUUCUGGUUUUGCUACCAAGGAGAAUG